AAGCGUUAAUUCGGAAUUACCUGGCCGUAAAGCGAGCGUAGGUGGCUUGAUAAGUCAGAUGUGAAAUCCCCGGCUUAACCUGGGAACUGCAUCUGAUACUGUUAGGCUAGAAUAGGUGAGAGGAAGGUAGAAUUCCCAGUGUAGCGGUGAAAUGCGUAGAGAUCUGGAGGAAUACCGAUGGCGAAGGCAGCCUUCUGGCAUCAUAUUGACACUGAGGUUCGAAAGCGUGGGUAGCAAACAGGAUUAGAUACCCUGGUAGUCCACGCCGUAAACGAUGUCUACUAGUCGUUGGGUCCCUUGAGGACUUAGUGACGCAGCUAACGCAAUAAGUAGACCGCCUGGGGAGUACGGCCGCAAGGUUAAAACUCAAAUGAAUUGACGGGGGCCCGCACAAGCGGUGGAGCAUGUGGUUUAAUUCGAUGCAACGCGAAGAACCUUACCUGGUCUUGACAUAUCUAGAAUCCUGCAGAGAUGCGGGAGUGCCUUCGGGAAUUAGAAUACAGGUGCUGCAUGGCUGUCGUCAGCUCGUGUCGUGAGAUGUUGGGUUAAGUCCCGCAACGAGCGCAACCCUUGUCCUUAGUUACCAGCGGGUUAAGCCGGGAACUCUAAGGAUACUGCCAGUGACAAACUGGAGGAAGGCGGGGACGACGUCAAGUCAUCAUGGCCCUUACGACCAGGGCUACACACGUGCUACAAUGGUAGGUACAGAGGGCAGCUACACAGCGAUGUGAUGCGAAUCUCAAAAAGCCUAUCGUAGUCCAGAUUGGAGUCUGCAACUCGACUCCAUGAAGUAGGAAUCGCUNNNAAUCGCGGAUCAGAAUGCCGCGGGAAACUNCAR
rnacentral:rRNA from 1 species